GUUUACCUGUGUGUGGAUGGUGAUCAGCAACAGGGACGGGUGUGAUUACCUGCGUGGAUGGUGUUUAGCAAUAGGGACAGGUAUGUUUACCU
rnacentral:pre_miRNA from 1 species